GACGAACGCUGGCGGCGUGCCUAAUACAUGCAAGUCGAACGCAGUGGGGACGGGUGAGUAACACGUGGGUAACCUUCCAUCAGAGGGGGAAAACCUGGGAACCAGGUGCUAACCGCAUAUGAUUGAAUGGACCCGCGUGGCAUUAGCAAGUUGGGGAGGUAACGGCUCACAAAGGCCCCGAUGCAUAGCCGACCUGAGAGGGUGAUCGGCCACACUGGGAUUGAGACACGGCCCAGACUCCUACGGGAGGCAGCAGUAGGGAAUCUUCGGCAAUGGACGAAAGUCUGACCGAGCAACGCCGCGUGAGUGAAGAAGGUUUUCGGAUCGUAAAACUCUGUUGUUAGAGAAGCGGUAUCUAACCAGAAAGCCACGGCUAACUACGUGCCAGCAGCCGCGGUAAUAC
rnacentral:rRNA from 1 species